CUGGAGUAGCUUGGAGGCCAGACGACAAAAUACACCUCCAUCUUGGAACCUUCACGCUAUGGUGACUAAGGCUCUGUGACAUGGACAGCUGGCUGGGACACACCCCAGUUAUACAGGAUAUGGCAGCUGAAUCAUCAGCGAUAUUGUACAAAAGGAACCAGAAGAAGAACCAGGAAGAUGUCAUCAAAUAAGUCAGGAGAGUGGUCACUUUUGGGGGAAAGGAGGUGAUUGUGAUGGAGGAGAGGCCCCUGGGGGUUCCCGGGCAUCUACAACUUAACCUGGAUGGGGGUCACGUGGGACUCACUGAAUAACUAUUCUUUACACUGUAAAUAUAUGAUUUAUGCCUCUUCUGUGUGUACACAUCAUAAUAAAAAA